AAAUGACGGUACCUGACUAAGAAGCACCGGCUAAAUACGUGCCAGCAGCCGCGGUAAUACGUAUGGUGCAAGCGUUAUCCGGAUUUACUGGGUGUAAAGGGAGCGUAGACGGAGUGGCAAGUCUGAUGUGAAAACCCGGGGCUCAACCCCGGGACUGCAUUGGAAACUGUCAAUCUAGAGUACCGGAGAGGUAAGCGGAAUUCCUAGUGUAGCGGUGAAAUGCGUAGAUAUUAGGAGGAACACCAGUGGCGAAGGCGGCUUACUGGACGGUAACUGACGUUGAGGCUCGAAAGCGUGGGGAGCAAACAGGAUUAGAUACCCUGGUAGUCCACGCCGUAAACGAUGACUACUAGGUGUCGGGCAGCAAAGCUGUUCGGUGCCGCAGCAAACGCAAUAAGUAGUCCACCUGGGGAGUACGUUCGCAAGAAUGAAACUCAAAG
rnacentral:rRNA from 1 species